AGAACAAUUAGUUUUCCAAAAACCGAUCUUAUCACUCUCCCGAUCAUAAGUUACAAGAGUAUUCCGUACUAUAAUUCCUGUCUCAAAUAGCAACAAUGUGAGAGGAACAGAGAAGUAGAAAUGGAGGUUUACAAUAAACCAUAACUUUUCCUACGUAAGUAGAAUUUAGAGUACUGGAUUCAGCCACAAUAAUUGUAAAUAUCAUGACAAGCAAGGCAGAGAGAGAACGAAAAGUGUAUUCAGUAAAUGAUUUAUACCUCCUAACAGAGUAGUUUGAUCAUUCCCAUUCUGGAAAAUUCCCAAGCAAUAUGCACCGCUAACCUUUGUAUGCUUUGGACCAUAUCAUGUAGAGAAAAGGGGAAACAGAGAUAAACAAGAAGAAGACAAGUGUUACAGUGCAAAUGAAGGACAAAUUGAAAUGACAGCAGAUGACCCCAGUGGGGGUAUGGCAGGAGGGUGUUAAGAAGAAAUGUUAGAAUUAUA
rnacentral:misc_RNA from 1 species